CUCAGAACGCUGUGUCCUUUAGACUCACAGUCUGCCAUGAAGGAGCCAUUGGCUCCUGCUGGAGAGGCUAGAGAGACUGCAGGGCUGACGGUUUCAUUUUUAUUCGCUUUAGUCUUUAUUUAAAGACUGAAGCAUGGGCCUGGAAAGAUAGCUCUCGCUCUGAGAAGUGCUUGCAAGAAGAUUUGAACGCAGCCCUCAGGGUGUCCCCCUCUUUUCUCCCUGGCAGAAUGGGUCUGGUUACCACAGCCUGCAUGAGCGAGGGCAAUCUCCCAGCAGCCACCCCUGAAGGAAAAUGACGCUUCUUCCAGCAGCCAUCAACUGCCAACACUCCUAAGAUAGAAUCUCCCACUGAAUAUGAAGCUUCCUGAUUUGGUGAGACUGGCUGGCCAGUGAGAUCCAGGGAUCUGCCUGUGUCUACCCACAUCACUACAUUGCAGAUGUGUAUCGCCAUGUCAGGUUUCCAUGGGCGCUGAGGCCCCGAACUCAGGUCCUCAUAUUUAACAUGGUAGGGAUCCUACUAACUGAGCCCUCCCCAACCCCUAUGGUUAGUUUUCUGUAGAAGGCACUGGAAAAGCAUCAUGGAUAUUACAUUAAAACUACCCACUUGUGCAUUCAGAUACUAUGAAUCGUCUUUAUUUUAUUCAACAGUCAGAAGAAAUAGGAGAAAUUCAAUGACUUCUUCUCUGCCAGUGUUCUUCCUUUGAGCAGUGGAAGAUUAUAGAAGCAAAGGCUGCUUGACAAAUACCCAGUGGGCAAGGUGAGACACUCGCAGUAGGACCUGCUCCCUUCUCUCAGUCAGACUGCAGAUAUAAAUGAGCCCUGUGUGACAGAGACAGUUUCAGACUGAUGUUGAAAUGGGAACUUUAAAACACAGAUAAUCAUUAACAAUGACUUGGACCAUUUAUUUUUCUAAUGGAAUCAAUAUGCAAGUUACUUUCUCUCUGCAACAGGUAUUAUAUAAAUCAGGUAUUAUAUAAAUCAGCCAGGAACAAAGUGAAGGACACUUUGUUACCACUGGUAAAUCUUGCCUUGCUUCUCAUCCGUACAACAGUCUUCUGAUUGACUUGAGGGGCUGUGGAUUUAUUUAACUUGGGCAGAGGUAACUUGGAA